GAUGAACGCUGGCGGCGUGCCUAAUACAUGCCAGUCGAGCGAACAGACGAGGAGCUUGCUCCUCUGACGUUAGCGGCGGACGGGUGAGUAACACGUGGAUAACCUACCUAUAAGACUGGGAUAACUUCGGGAAACCGGAGCUAAUACCGGAUAAUAUAUUGAACCGCAUGGUUCAAUAGUGAAAGACGGUUUUGCUGUCACUUAUAGAUGGAUCCGCGCCGCAUUAGCUAGUUGGUAAGGUAACGGCUUACCAAGGCAACGAUGCGUAGCCGACCUGAGAGGGUGAUCGGCCACACGGGAACUGAGACACGGUCCAGACUCCUACGGGAGGCAGCAGUAGGGAAUCGUCCGCAAUGGGCGAAAGCCUGACGGAACAACGCCGCGUGAGUGAUGAAGGUCUUCGGAUCGUAAAACUCUGUUAUUAGGGAAGAACAAAUGUGUAAGUAACUAUGCACGUCUUGACGGUACCUAAUCAGAAAGCCACGGCUAACUACGUG
rnacentral:rRNA from 1 species